GCUGGUGCGAGUCGGUGGCAGCGAGGACAUUUUCUGACUCCCCGGCCCCUGACCCGGCUGCACUUUACAUCCCGUCGUGGGGCCGGCCGCUACUCCGGCCCCAGGAUGCAGAAUGUGAUUAAUACUGUGAAGGGAAAGGCACUGGAAGUGGCUGAGUACCUGACCCCGGUCCUCAAGGAAUCAAAGUUUAAGGAAACAGGUGUAAUUACCCCAGAAGAGUUUGUGGCAGCUGGAGAUCACCUAGUCCACCACUGUCCAACAUGGCAAUGGGCUACAGGGGAAGAAUUGAAAGUGAAGGCAUACCUACCAACAGGCAAACAAUUUUUGGUAACCAAAAAUGUGCCGUGCUAUAAGCGGUGCAAACAGAUGGAAUAUUCAGAUGAAUUGGAAGCUAUCAUUGAAGAAGAUGAUGGUGAUGGCGGAUGGGUAGAUACAUAUCACAACACAGGUAUUACAGGAAUAACCGAAGCAGUUAAAGAGAUCACACUGGAAAAUAAGGUACUGGUUAAUUGGUUAUAUUUUUAAAUUUAAUGACUAGUUAUUUGCCUAUCUAUCUAUCU
rnacentral:sRNA from 1 species